AGAGCCUGCUCGCAUUGAGGAGGAAGAGGUCUGUACUGCUCACUGCUGCUCUGUGCUCUGGGCCCGGGUCUGCUGCUGACCUUGCUUCCUGGGCUGCGGGUUCUUGCCUCUCCCCACCCCAUCACUUAAGCAUAGACCCUUUCCCAGAAGAGCUCCUGGCAGCUGCUACAGAAAUGGGGUCCUGGGGCUGCCCCGAUAGGGCCUGCUGGUCUUUUGGCAGAGGCAGCACAUCUCUGCCCCCACUGCGGCCUUUCUUGUAGAGGACAAACAGAGGGCCAACGCCAGGCCAUCCGUGUUCAUUCUCUGCAGCUGUGACUGCCCCACGCCUCAGAUACCUCCCAGCUCCUCUUCUGCCUCUGCUACCCUGGCAGGCGGAGGGACCUCAAAAAGAAACCAAAAGGAGCUGUCUGUGGCUGGCCUUGCUGUGCCGCAAGCACACAGACGGCUCAAGCCCUCCCAAACACAGUGUCUGCUCUGUUUCCAGCUGACCCUCACCAUCGUGCGCCAGACUGGGGGCCUUGGCAUCAGCAUCGCAGGGGGCAAGGGUUCCACCCCCUACAAGGGAGAUGACGAGGUGAGCAGCUGCCCCAGGCUAUAGCUGCCCUGGGCUCCCUCCUGCCCCAGACCUGCCUACACUCACUGGCCCAGAGGCUUCUGCUCCAAGGGGUGUUGGAUGCCUGCCGCCAGCCCCACAGUUCAGUCUUCUGUGUGCUUUGCCUGCACUUGGCCACCAGCCCCAGAGUGCACAGGCUGGGCCCAAGGCAGCAGGCAGACGGGGAUGUGCGCACGUGGGAGUUCACAGUCUAGAGCAGCUUGUUUCUCUUCUGCAAUCUGGUCUUCCCUCACACACUCUGGGCGUAGUGCCCGGGUCAAAGCCCUGACCCGCACUUUCUACUUCCUGGACGUAGGACCCACAGUGGUCUCUACUUAGGCCGUAUGUCUUCCUUCAUGUUCUUGGGGAUCUUUGCAGCAUCCCCAGAGAGCAGGCUGGGCUAGGGUCUGAAGGGACCAGGUCUCCCUCCAGUAAGUGCCUCCUGGCCUCCCAGAAAGGGCAAGACAGAAGGCUCUUAAGGAAUCCCCAACUCCUGUCCCCAGGGUGUCUUCAUUUCUCGGGUGUCUGAGGAGGGCCCUGCGGCCCGGGCUGGAGUCCGAGUGGGCGACAAACUCCUUGAGGUGAGUAGUGACUGCUGGCCAGUGACACCUGUGCUCUGGGGUGCCAUCUGGGCUGUUGGGGUAUUUAGUUGUGCCUAUCGGAUGGGGGCACUGUCUACCCUCUCCAGAAGCCCUGAGCCCCAGACCCCAGGACUCCCCCAAACCCUCUUUGGGCAGGAUGUGUAGUGCAGGCACCUAAAACCCCAGAAUCGGGAGGGCUGGGAAAGGGGUCAGACCCCAGCAGGUUGUGGGGCUCAGAUCCUUGUGAGAGACUUGGCACCCCCACCAGGGCACCUGGCUGUUGGAUAUAGGCUGUGCCCUUCCUGUGGGGACAAGGGUGAGGGCCCUGAGGGUAUCAGAAGAGGCUGGUGCUCCUCCUGCUCUCCUGCUCAGCUCUCUUCCCAGCCUCUCUUGGGGGCUCCUGUCCAAGGUGGCGUGUGAGUGUGGGGUCGGUGACCUGGUAAUCCUGGGCAUUCUCUGGGGCUGCUCAGACAGACCCAGAUGGUAGGUUUCCAGAAGCAAGGUGAGUGGUGUGGACUGUUCCAGGGGCAGAUGCCUGUGCUCUGGGAACCGCCAUAGGUGGGGACGAAGCCCAUCAGGAGCUCUGGGUACCCCCUCUCCCUGCCCUUCCCAUCCAUGGAGGGAAGCGUGGGCAGAGGCCACACGAGCCGUUGUCAUGGCGUCAGUGCUCAGGUGUCGGGGUGGCCGCAGCUGGGUGCUGACGUGUGCCGGGCCUCCCACACCUACAGGUGAACGGCGUGGCUUUGCAGGACGCUGAGCACCAUGAGGCUGUGGAGGCCCUCCGAGGGGCAGGCACAGCCGUGCAGAUGCGUGUGUGGCGGGAACGCAUGGUAGAACCUGAGAACGCAGUCACCAUCACACCCCUGCGGCCCGAGGACGACUACAGCCCCCGAGAGCGGCGGGGAGGCGGCCUGCGCCUGCCCCUGCUGCAGCCGGAGCUCCCUGGGCCUGUGCGCCAGUGCCAUGUGGCCUGCCUGGUGCGCAGCGAGAAGGGGCUGGGCUUCAGCAUUGCUGGGGGGAAAGGCUCCACACCCUACCGGGCCGGUGACGGGGUAAGGCAGGGUGGCUGGGGGUGCAGGGAGGGCUCUGGGGCAUCCGUGCCUGCUGGCCGUGCCUGCUGGCCUCACGGUGGCGGCUCCCCCAUCCCUGCAGGGCAUCUUCGUCUCCCGCAUUGCCGAGGGUGGUGCUGCCCAUCGAGCAGGCUCGCUGCAGGUUGGCGACCGUGUUCUCUCGGUGAGUGGGAUGGGCAGGGCCUGCUCAGUGCCUUGUCCUGCCCACCCUUUCUCACCUGAGUGUCCCUCACAGAUCAACGGGGUGGACGUGACUGAGGCCAGGCAUGACCAUGCUGUGUCACUGCUGACUGCUGCCUCCCCCACCAUCGCCCUGCUGCUGGAACGGGAGACAGGGGGACCCCCUCCCUCCAGCACCCCCCCACUUUCCUCCCCAACUCCCACUGUUGCUGCUGCCACCACCACGACCACUGCUGCCCCUGGAGAGCCUGGGCUGCCCAGGCUGGCCCCUGCUCUCCUGGCUGCUGCCCUAGAAGGACCGUACCCAGUGGAGGUGAGCCUCCAGCUGCCCCCUGCCAGGCAUCCGCUCAGCUCUGCUGUGGGUGUGCACUCUCCCAGAGCCCCUGCUCAUGGCCCUGCAGCCACUCUGGGCAGAAAGGAACUUGCACAUUUUUCCCCAUGUGCCUGAGAAACGGAGCCCUCCUCCACGAGGUGACUCCUUGCUGUGGUCCACCUGCCCCACACCACCUCCCUGCCAGGCCACCCAUGAGGACACAGGCUUUAGCUGCAUGGGUGUCUGGGCAGUGGGGUUUUGCAGAGGCAAUGGGAAUCCCUGCAGGUGCCUGGGGCUCCCCGAACUCUGUUCCCAACCACAGAGACCAGCAGUUCCCCUACUUCUUUCCACUCUUUCCCUUCUCUGAGGCCUGUCCCAUGUCCCCAGGAGGUUCGUCUGCCUAGGGCUGGGGGCCCCCUGGGGCUCAGCAUUGUUGGGGGCUCCGACCAUUCCAGCCACCCGUUUGGUGUCCAGGAGCCCGGCGUAUUCAUCUCCAAGGUAGAUAGAGGCCCUGGUGGGUGGAUCUGGACAGAGGGGACCUAUCCUGCCCACCCUGGGGGGCCCACCGGCUGCUGCCUUCCUCUUCAACAGGUGCUCCCACGCGGCCUGGCCGCUCGCUGUGGCCUGCGGGUGGGGGACCGCAUUCUGGCAGUAAAUGGGCAGGAUGUUCGGGAGGCCACUCACCAAGAGGCGGUCAGUGCCCUGCUCCGGCCCUGCCUAGAACUGUCCCUGGUGGUGCGGAGGGACCCUCCACCUCCAGGCAUGCGGGAGCUCUGCAUCCAGAAGGCCCCUGGGGAGAAGCUGGGGAUCAGCAUCCGUGGGGGUGCCAAGGGCCAUGCAGGGAACCCCUGCGACCCCACAGACGAGGGCAUCUUCAUUUCCAAGGUAAGGACCCUGCCCUUCUGCUUCUGUGGGCAGGUCCCAGUUCAGAGUCUCAGGUGGGUCUCUCCACAGGUAAGCCCUACGGGGGCAGCCGGGCGUGACGGCCGGCUGCACGUGGGGCUCCGGCUGCUGGAGGUGAACCAGCAGAGCCUGCUGGGCCUGACACACGCAGAGGCCGUGCAGCUGCUGCGCAGCGUGGGUGACAGCCUGACCGUGCUCGUCUGUGAGGGGUUUGACACCAGUGCCACCACAGCCUUGGAGGUUAG
rnacentral:lncRNA from 1 species